CGAGUUGAUUGGGCAAUCGCUAUCUUUUGAUAGAGGAAAGUCCGGGCUCCGAAGAGCAAAGUGGUGGAUAACAUCCACCCGGGGUGACCCGAGGGAAAGUGCAACAGAAAGUAAACCGCCAAAAGAAAUUUUGGUAAGGAUGAAACGGUGGUGUAAGAGACCACCAGCAUUGCAAGUGAUUGCAGUGGCUAGGUAAACCCCACUUAGCAAUAAGGACAGAACCCGGCUUACAGAUCAACUCGUUUA
rnacentral:RNase_P_RNA from 1 species